CAGAAAGCCACGGCUAACUACGUGCCAGCAGCCGCGGUAAUACGUAGGUGGCAAGCGUUGUCCGGAAUUAUUGGGCGUAAAGGGCUCGCAGGCGGUUUCUUAAGUCUGAUGUGAAAGCCCCCGGCUCAACCGGGGAGGGUCAUUGGAAACUGGGGAACUUGAGUGCAGAAGAGGAGAGUGGAAUUCCACGUGUAGCGGUGAAAUGCGUAGAGAUGUGGAGGAACACCAGUGGCGAAGGCGACUCUCUGGUCUGUAACUGACGCUGAGGAGCGAAAGCGUGGGGAGCGAACAGGAUUAGAUACCCUGGUAGUCCACGCCGUAAACGAUGAGUGCUAAGUGGUUAGGGGGUUUCCGCCCCUUAGUGCUGCAGCUAACGCAUUAAGCACUCCGCCUGGGGAGUACGGUCGCAAGACUGAAACUC
rnacentral:rRNA from 1 species